CCUACGGGUGGCAGCAGUGAGGAAUAUUGGUCAAUGGCCGGAAGGCUGAACCAGCCAUGCCGCGUGAAGGUCAGUGCCCUAUGGGCGUUAAACUUCUUUUGUGCGGGAGCAAUAAUGGUCACGUGUGGCCAGACGAGAGUACCGUACGAAUAAGCAUCGGCUAACUCCGUGCCAGCAGCCGCGGUAAUACGGGGGAUGCAAGCGUUAUCCGGAUUUAGUGGGUUUAAAGGGUGCGUGGGCUGUGAGGUAAGUCAGCGGUGAAAUGCCCCCGCUCAACGGGGUGAAGUGCCAUUGAUACUGCCUUGCGGGAAUGCGGAUGCCGUGGGAGGAAUGUGUGGUGUAGCGGUGAAAUGCAUAGAUAUCACACAGAACACCGAUUGCGAAGGCAUCUCACGAAUCCGCGAUUGACACUGAGGCUCGAAAGUGUGGGUAUCAAACAGGAUUAGAUACCCUAGUAGUC
rnacentral:rRNA from 1 species